CAAUAGCGUAUAUUUAAGUUGUUGCAGUUAAAAAGCUCGUAGUUGGAUUUCGGGUGGGACGCAGCGGUCUCGCAUUGCGUUUGUACUGCUGCAGCCCUCCUUCUUGCCGGGGGCGGCCUCUCGGACUUCACUGUCUGGGGGUCAGAAUCGGCGAUGUUACUUUGAGUAAAUUAGAGUGUUCAAAGCAAGCUUACGCUCUGAAUAUAAUAGCAUGGGAUAACACGACAGGACUCUGGCCUAUCGUGUUGGUCUAUAGGACCAGAGUAAUGAUUAAGAGGGACAGUCGGUGGCAUUCGUAUUCCGUUGUCAGAGGUGAAAUUCUUGGAUUUACGGAAGACGAACAUCUGCGAAAGCAUUUGCCAAGGAUGUUUUCAUUGA
rnacentral:rRNA from 1 species